rnacentral:rRNA from 1 species
ACAUCCAGAGAUUUAGCAGAGAUGCUUUAGUGCCUUCGGGAACUCUGAGACAGGUGCUGCAUGGCUGUCGUCAGCUCGUGUUGUGAAAUGUUGGGUUAAGUCCCGCAACGAGCGCAACCCUUAUCCUUUGUUGCCAGCACGUAAUGGUGGGAACUCAAAGGAGACUGCCGGUGAUAAACCGGAGGAAGGUGGGGAUGACGUCAAGUCAUCAUGGCCCUUACGAGUAGGGCUACACACGUGCUACAAUGGCGCAUACAAAGAGAAGCGACCUCGCGAGAGCAAGCGGACCUCAUAAAGUGCGUCGUAGUCCGGAUUGGAGUCUGCAACUCGACUCCAUGAAGUCGGAAUCGCUAGUAAUCGUAAAUCAGAAUGUUACGGUGAAUACGUUCCCGGGCCUUGUACACACCGCCCGUCACACCAUGGGAGGUGGGUUGCAAAAGAAGUAGAUAGCUUAACCUUCGGGAGGGCGUUUACCACUUUGUGAUUCAUGACUGGGGUGAAGUCGUAACAAGGUAAGCGUAGUGCU